rnacentral:rRNA from 1 species
ACUCAGUGAAAUUGAACUCGCUGUGAAGAUGCAGUGUACCCGCGGCAAGACGGAAAGACCCCGUGAACCUUUACUAUAGCUUGACACUGAACAUUGAGCCUUGAUGUGUAGGAUAGGUGGGAGGCUUUGAAGUGUGGACGCCAGUCUGCAUGGAGCCGACCUUGAAAUACCACCCUUUAAUGUUUGAUGUUCUAACGUGGACCCGUAAUCCGGGUUGCGGACAGUGUCUGGUGGGUAGUUUGACUGGGGCGGUCUCCUCCUAAAGAGUAACGGAGGAGCACGAAGGUUGGCUAAUCCUGGUCGGACAUCAGGAGGUUAGUGCAAUGGCAUAAGCCAGCUUGACUGCGAGCGUGACGGCGCGAGCAGGUGCGAAAGCAGGUCAUAGUGAUCCGGUGGUUCUGAAUGGAAGGGCCAUCGCUCAACGGAUAAAAGGUACUCCGGGGAUAACAGGCUGAUACCGCCCAAGAGUUCAUAUCGACGGCGGUGUUUGGCACCUCGAUGUCGGCUCAUCACAUCCUGGGGCUGAAGUAGGUCCCAAGGGUAUGGCUGUUCGCCAUUUAAAGUGGUACGCGAGCUGGGUUUAGAACGUCGUGAGACAGUUCGGUCCCUAUCUGCCGUGGGCGCUGGAGAACUGAGGGGGGCUGCUCCUAGUACGAGAGGACCGGAGUGGACGCAUCACUGGUGUUCGGGUUGUCAUGCCAAUGGCACUGCCCGGUAGCUAAAUGCGGAAGAGAUAAGUGCUGAAAGCAUCUAAGCACGAAACUUGCCCCGAGAUGAGUUCUCCCUGACUCCUUGAGAGUCCUGAAGGAACGUUGAAGACGACGACGUUGAUAGGCCGGGUGUGUAAGCGCAGCGAUGCGUUGAGCUAACCGGUACUAAUGAACCGUGAGGCUUAACCUUACAACGCCGAAGGUGUUU